AAAAAAAAAGGUUAAGAUCCAAGAUUAAGAUGCUUUAACAUCUUAACCACUGGAGAUGCUCUAGGUUCUAUAGUUUCUUUUCUUUUAUUUGUCACCAAAAAGUUCCUUUUUAUUUGUCACUAAGAGCAUUUCUAUUGGUUAUCUCACCAAAAUAAUAUUAAUUUAAGUUGAAAACCUCAUUAUCAAAUACAAUCUCUA
rnacentral:sRNA from 1 species